GCCCUUCCAGUUCCUUGUGUGCUAAGAGAUAUGCCCUUUCAAAGUUGACUCUCCAAAUCGCAUUUUUUGCGAUUUUCGAAUUUUGAUACGGUUGCUCUAAAAUUCGGGUUAGACCCAUUUCCCACUCAAUUUGACCCCCUGCAUAAGAAUAUGAAGUCGAAUUUCCAAAAUCAUGCACGGAUUUUGAGAUAUAUGGAAAUUACAAUUAUAGGUGUUUCCGAAGCAC
rnacentral:lncRNA from 1 species